UGCCUGUCAACUUCAUGCUAACACUCACCUGCCCUGUUCUUCUGGUCCAUGUCCAUCACCCACCUCAACUCCAGAGCUCAGGCUGUGGGAGACUAUAAAUUAAGGGCACAGGGCCGGGCAUGGUGGCUCACACCUAUAAUAACACUUUGGGAGGCUGAGGCAGGUGAAUUACCUGAGGUCUGGAGUUCCAGACCAGCCUGGCCAAUAUGGUGAAACCCCAUCUCUACUAAAAAAAUACAAAAAUUUGCUGGGUGUAGUGGCACAUGCCUGUAAUCUCAGCUACUUGGGAGGCUGAGGCAGGAGAAUCGCUUGAACCUGGAAGGAGGAGGUUGGAGUGAGCUGAGAUCGCACCAUUUCACUCCAGCCUCAGUGAUAACAGCAAAACUCCAUCUCAAAAAAAAAAAAAAAAGGCCGGGCAUGUUGGCUCACGCCUAUAAUCCCAGCACUUUAGGAGGCCGAGGUGGGCGGAUCACCUGAGGUUAGGAGUUCGAGACCAGCCUGCCCAACAUGGCGAAGCCCCGUCUCUAUUAAAAAUACAAAAAAUUACCCAGGCAUGGUGGCAGUCACCUGUAAUCCUAGCUACUCGGGAGGCUGAGGCAGAAGAAUCGCUUGAACCCGGGAGGCGAAGGUUGCAGUGAGCCGAGAUUGUGCCACUGCACUCCAGCCUGAGCGACAAGAGCGAAACUCUGUCUCAAAAAAAAAAAAAAAAAAAAAAAAAAACAAAUUAAGGGCACAGGCUUUGGGAUCAGGUAGAUCUGGGUUUGAAAUCCAGUUUUGUAACUUAUUAUGUGAGACAAUUUGGGAAAAUGGCUCAAUCUCCCUAAGCCUCAGUUUCCUCAACUGUAAAAUGGGAAUAACAGUACUUUAUAACAAUGUUGUUUUAAAGAUUAAAUAAGAGCUGGGGAUGGUGGCUCACACCUGUAAUCCCAGCACUUUGGGAAGCUGAGGCAGGUGGAUCAUGAGGUCAGGAGAUCGAGACCAUCCUGGCUAACACGGUGAAACCCCAUCUCUACUAAAAAUAUAAAAAAUUAGCUGGGUGUGGUGGCGGGCACCUGUAGUCCCAGCUACUUGGGAGGCUGAGGCAGGAGAAUGGCGUGAACCCGGGAGGCAGAGCUUGCAGUGAGCCAAGAUCACGCCAUUGCACCCAGCCUAGAUGACAGAGCGAGA
rnacentral:lncRNA from 10 species